UACGAAGGGGGGCUAGCGUUGCUCGGAAUCACUGGGCGUAAAGCGCACGUAGGCGGUUUCUUAAGUCAGGGGUGAAAUCCCGGAGCUCAACUCCGGAACUGCCUUUGAUACUGGGAGACUUGAGUUCGGGAGAGGUGAGUGGAACUGCGAGUGUAGAGGUGAAAUUCGUAGAUAUUCGCAAGAACACCGGUGGCGAAGGCGGGU
rnacentral:rRNA from 1 species